rnacentral:lncRNA from 1 species
UAGGUUACUAAUAAAAUAUUUGCUUUAAAACUAGCAUUUCCAUUUAAUUCAGUCACCAUGGAACAAUCAACUCUGUCUUCACAGUAAAAUCCAGUAUUGCAACAUGUGUAUCUCCAAAGUCAAUUGCAAGGCCUCUGUAGGAAUCAAUACAGAUCUUAAAGAACUUUUGCAUGUUAGAAAUUCUGGAGUAAGGAUGGUUAACUAUGCAGACAGGAAGCCCAUAAAAUUAAACAAAUGGAAAUGCAAAGUCCUGCAGAUGGAAUGGUAGAAAGAAUGCCAUCUACAUGGCUGGAGAGCUGAACAACUGGGAAGCAGCUUUUCAGGAAAGGAUCUGUGGUUCUCAGUGAGCAUAAAAUAAUCCAUGAGCCAGAGAUACACCCUUGCAGCAAAUGCCGACAGCAUCCUGGGCUGUGUUUUGAGAGCAUCGUGGGCUGGUCAAGGGAGGCAAUUCUUCAUUUCUGUUCACCACAUAUUGCACUGAACUAAUGCAUCUCUGUCUUAGAGGCUAUAAUCAUCAAACAUACGCAGAAGUUUAUAAAAGCAGUGCACUCCUUUAGCAAUUAUUUUUUCUACAUUGCUCUUAAAUUAGUUCAGUUUUUAGUUUUGUCUCUGAAUUUCAGCACAAGAGCAGAUGGAAAACUUGGGUGCAAGCUGUGUGUGACUAGAAUCAUUAAUUCGCUCCAUCAGUGUAUAAUGUUUGUAUUAGUUCUGAUUGGAUGAAGUAUAAACAGAGGAGGUAAGAUACUACAGUAUAUACAUUGAGGCUUCUGUUGCAGAAACAGAACAUUGCGAGCAUUUCAGGUUUGAUCCUGAUGUACGUUAGCUUUCUUGUUCAGUUGGGAUACUAUAAGGUAAUUUUUCUCCUGCAGGCCAUCACAAGUUGUCACUUCUGGUUGCUGUUGGCUUGGGAUUGCUGUGGUCCCGCAUACAGCUGUUUGUAAAGUCACUAGCCAUGUUUUUCUGUCUGGAAACUUGUCAUUCUUGCAGAUGAGUGGACGGAGAAUUAAAAUUAAGACUAUUUUAAGUCUCCUGCCUGGAAGUCUAAUUUUCAACA